GUAGGUGGCAAGCGUUGUCCGGAAUUAUUGGGCGUAAAGCGCGCGCGGGCGGUUCUUUAAGUCUGAUGUGAAAGCCCACGGCUCAACCGUGGAGGGUCAUUGGAAACUGGAGAACUUGAGUACAGAAGAGGAAAGCGGAAUUCCACGUGUAGCGGUGAAAUGCGUAGAGAUGUGGAGGAACACCAGUGGCGAAGGCGGCUUUCUGGUCUGUAACUGACGCUGAGGCGCGAAAGCGUGGGGAGCAAACAGGAUUAGAUACCCUGGUAGUCCACGCCGUAAACGAUGAGUGCUAAGUGUUAGGGGGUUUCCCGCCCCCCUUAGUGCUGCAGCUAACGCAUUAAGCACUCCGCCUGGGGAGUACGGCCCGCAAGGCUG
rnacentral:rRNA from 1 species